UACAUAACUGUGGGAUCAGCUGCAUAUCCAAUCUUAGAAAUUUUAGAAGAAUGAGGUACAGAAAAUUUUGAGGAAAUUUUCCCUGCUGUUAUUCCCCAAGCCACACAGAUUUUUGUUAAUGGCUGCUGGGUUGGCAUACAUUGUGAUCCUGAAAUUUUGGUGAGAACAUUGAGGAAGCUAAGGUGGGUGGAUGUCAAUACUGAAGUUGGGGCCGUAAGAGAUAUCCAUAUGAAAGAAUUGCAGAUAUAUACCGAUUAUAGUCGUUGCAGUCAUCCAUUAUUCAUUGUGGACAAGCAAAGGCCGCUUAUAAAGAACAAAGAUAUUCAUGCAUUGUAGUAGAGGAUGAGCUCAAGGUUUUAAAUAUCGGUAUCGUCAUAUCUAUCGGUACUUCGAAAAAGGGAGAUAUCGGAAGUAUCGGAGAUACAGGGUGUCAGGACCCACCUCGGAAUUACCCCCUAACUCCAAGAUGGA